rnacentral:rRNA from 1 species
CAGGCGCGAAAACUUUACAAUGCUGGCAACAGCGAUAAGGGGACCUCGAGUGCCACGAUACAAUCGUGGCUGUCUAGUUGCCUAAAAAGCAAUUGAUAGCAAGGGCCGGGCAAGACCGGUGCCAGCCGCCGCGGUAACACCGGCGGCUCGAGUGGUAACCGCUAUUAUUUGGUCUAAAGGGUCUGUAGCCGGCUUAGUCAGUCUUUUGAGAAAUCUGGCCGCUCAACGGUCAGGCGUUCAGGGGAUACUGCUAAAGCUCGAGACCGGGAGAGGUGAGAGGUACUUCAGGGGUAGGGGUGAAAUCUUGUAAUCCUUGAAGGACCACCAGUGGCGAAGGCGUCUCACCAGAACGGAUCUGACGGCAAGGGACGAAAGCUAGGGGCACGAACCGGAUUAGAUACCCGGGUAGUCCUAGCCGUAAACGAUACUCGCUAGGUGUCGGCCACGGUGCGACCGUGGUCGGUGCCGUAGGGAAGCCGUGAAGCGAGCCACCUGGGAAGUACGGCCGCAAGGCUGAAACUUAAAGGAAUUGGCGGGGGAGCACUACAACGGGUGGAGCUUGCGGUUUAAUUGGAUUCAACGCCGGAAAUCUUACCGGGGCCGACAGCGAUAUGAAGGCCAGGCUAAGGACCUUGCCCGAUUAGCUGAGAGGUGGUGCAUGGCCGUCGUCAGUUCGUACUGUGAAGCAU